rnacentral:rRNA from 1 species
AGGCUCUAGCAUCGAUGAACAUCGCUGUGAAAUGCGAUAAGUCAUGUGAUUUGCAGAAUUUCGUGACUCAUUGAAUCCUUGAACGCACAAUGCGCGCUAUGGUAUUCCGUAGCGCAUGCCGGUCUGAGCGUCAGCUGCUCUUCUCAAGUUCUUUUGCUUGCAUAACGUUGGAGAAGCAAUACAGGGUCCAUGUGGACUCUGUGUGCUCCCCAGAAAUUCGUAGGCGGUACGCUUCUACCAAACCAGACGUAAUACUUCUUUAGCUCGUCCUUUGUUUUGCAGCUGGGCUAGCCUCUUAAUCCUACAUCAUUCAAGAGACCUCAGAUCAGGUAGG